UUUGCUGAUGUUUUUUGCUACUGGCAUUACUUUUUUUGUUUCAUUUUUUAAAAAACAAAUAUAUAAGUAGCUGUAUUCAGUUGACAUUUUUGAAGUUAAAAGGUAAGAAUGCCUCUGCUUAGAAAGUAAGCAGCACAGGAAGCAGUGGACUGCGGGGAGCCGCCUUCCGCCUCCUGAGAGAGCCUGCUUCCCAGGGCAGGGGGUCCUGCUCAGAACGCUCUUGACGCUUUUCCCUUAGGUCUUGUAAGAUUCCCUUUCACACCUAUACUGUUUGUUUUUAUUUCCAAGCAAUUGCUUCUUCACAUCUAUCUUCUGAAUUUGUGCUGGAGUGCCUGGAUUUCUCUUCAGAGACUUUUCAAGGUGUGACCCAUGUUUCUGAGGGUCUUGGGGUCCACCUUCAUCUUGGACAGCUGUGAAUUUCCAGUUGCACAUGCCCGCUUCUUGACUGCCACCUUGGUUUCUCCCUGGCUCCAGGCUCUGGGUGUUGAAGGGGUAGGCAAGGGAACAGCUAGGACCUUGUCCCUUCCUUGAUUGGGUGAGCACCCAGCCCUGCUCUGUGCUGGGCACACUCAGACCAACAGGACCUGGGCGAAAGAAGGGUGGAGACGGUGAGCCUGCCCAGCAGAACCCUCUGCCCUGCGGCCCUCUCCCUGUGCACCAGCUCUCAGAGGCUGGGCUGCUGUCACUGCAGCCGCAGUCCCCAUGCCACACAGCUGGCUGCCAUCCUCUGCAGGGCCCGUCCUCUCCCUGCUCCAUCCAGUCAUCUGGGCGGCCCCUUCUUGGCCUUUUCUUUCUGCUAUUGCUAAGUACAAAAGAAGAAAUCUGGAUUUUCCACCUGUUUUUAACGGUCAUAAUCAGUGUCUUGCAAGGCCCCACCCUCCACCAUGCUACGUCACACUGUGGAGGGCGCAUCUGGGGCUCAGCAGGUCACCAGCAGGGUCUGGCCUGAACCACCCCUGCCGGUCAUCAGCCUUGCCAGGGACCAGACAGCAGCAGCUCCUGUCUCCGUCCAGUCCCACAGACGACACCAGCCCUGCUGGAUAUUACCCACUUCUACAUUCCCUCCCACUGCCCUGGGUGGGACCCUGUUCUGCCUCCAAGUUGAUGGUGAAGUUGCCCCUGCAGGGCUAGCUCUGCACCUUGCCAGCUGCUGAAGUCAGCCCCAGAGCUCAAGCUGCACAGGGCAGUCCCAGGGUACUUGGCACCCAGGUGACCCCUCUUCCCAGAGGUAUUCUCUGACCUCUGCUCAGGGCCCUGCACUCUGCCUGCUGCACAAAGCCUCCUCCUCAGGACCUUGGGCAACUCAGCUGAGCCCGAGACAGGCAGAACCCCAGUGGACUUCAGGACCAGCACCUUGCAGGCAGGACCUGGCUGCCAGAGGUGUCCUUCCGCAGCCUCCAGAGCCCUGGGUGCCUGGAGGUGCAGCCAAGGCUUAUCGUCCAGGACGCAGCCUAAGACUUGAAAGGAGCCAGGGAGAGCAGGUGCUGCGCCUAUCACAUCUUGCUGGGAGGCGGGGUGCAUCCCUCUCAGGAGUCCCUUCCUGAUCCUCCUGGGUUUCCUCACCCGCACUGCAGAGGCCGAAGGAAGACAGCAUCUGUGGGCACAAAAUGCUGCUCUAGCCGCCCUCAGUGAGCAGCACACACUGCUGCAGCCAUGGCCUCCCACCAUGGACUCUCACAUCUGCCCCGGUGACAACCUGGUCUCCCAUCCCCCGCCCCGGUGCCCCACUCUGCCUUCUGCCUCUAUGAACGUGACUGCUCUGGGGACCUCACCUAAGUGGAAUCCUACAGGACUUGUCCUGUGACGGGUUGACUUCACACAGCUCAGUGUCCAAGUCCACUCUGUUGUAGCCAGGGAAUAGCGUUUGCCUGCCCAGACUGUCACAGCCCUGGGAAUGGAGCUGGGCACUUGACCACCCAGGUCUCAUGGGUCCCGCCUUUCUGCCCUGUGCCCACGAGCUGGGUGGCACCUCCCCUCACAGGGCAGACACUGCUCACCAGGCUGAUCUGCCAGCAAAGUCAUUUCUUCACUUGGAUGCUGUCAAAAAUAAAUUGAUCCAUCUUCCAGAAAUGUUCCGGCUGCUUCCAGCUGCAUUCUGAGCCACUCACUAUUGAUCGUCAUAAUUGUUUCCACUUUGCUCUGAGUCAGUCCUUUGGUGGAAAAUUACAGGGGGAGCAGCUGGAGGAGGGUGAUUUGGGGAGGAGGUGAGUGGCCAGAACAGCGUCCAUCCCCAGGUCUCCCUGGUUGACGGCACCACUGCCUCACAUGCCCACUCAUGCCCAGGGGCCAGCUGGCCAUCGAGUCAGGCUUUGGUGCUGGUGCAAAGCCAGAUUGGUAGGCAGAGGGCCUCAGAGAGGACCGUUCCCCUGCUUUUGCCCCCAGCCCUAGCUGCACCUGGCAGAGCACAGUAGCCCAGGCUGACUGCAAAGGACAGUCAGUGACUUGGGAACAGCACCAGGCCAAUGAGCAUCUGAUUUUGGAAUUUCAGCAAUCCAACAGUGCUGGGGACUCGAACCCGGGUCUGGAGCUUGAGAGGCAUGCACCCUAUGUGAUGGGCUAUAUCACCAGCACCAAGCAUCUGAUUUUAAACAGAAAGCAGUGUCCAGCAUGGAGUUGGUGGGUCCCCAAGCCUGGCCCCGUGGUCAGGACAUCCAGCAGCCCUGGCAUGUCAGGAAGUGGGGCGCAUUGGCAACACCUCUGACCAUGGGCUUUGGAAUCCCGCCACCUGGUUGUGGGCACGAGGCCGAGCAUUCACAGCGGGCCUUGACCUCUAAAAGGACAGAGCCGUGACUGUCUUGACCCACUCUGCCCCCCGCCCCGUGCCUCUUGCUGCCUGGCAGAGCAGGACUUUGGUGGAUGUUCCAGAGCCGGUGAGCCUUUUAACAAAUGGCAGCAGACGGUGUCAGACCUGCCAGGCCUGACGCUGCUUCUCAGAGGGCUGCGCACUGUGACUCCACAGGGCUGGGCUUGGCCCGGCCCUGCCCAGCUGCCCUUUGGAAUCCAGGCUCUGCUCUAACUGGCUGUGCUGUCCUGGGCUGAAGCUGCUGUCGGGUGCAGGUGGGAGGACGGGCAGGACUUGUGUUCACUGCAGAUGGUGGCUGCUGACCCCAUGUUGCCAGGAGCACUUGCAAGGGGGCCCUUUUGGAACCGAGAAGUGCUACUCACGCAGACCACACCCAGAGUCCGAAGGCCACAGUGCUGGAGAUUGCGCCCUGGUCCUUCCGCAGAACUGCACCCCAGCCCAACUGUGUCAUCAAACAGCUAUGGAAGGAACAGAGCUCCAACACAUGCAGCUCCUGGAGCCUGGAGGAUGCUGUGCUGCCUGAAGGCCACCACUUGCCAAGGGCACACUUGUGUGACUCUGCUUACAUGAGGUCCCUAGAGCAGCUGAGCCCACAGACAGAAGGAAGAGUGGUGGUCACCAGUGCUGGAGAGGUGGGGAGGGAGUUCUGUUUAAUGGGGACAGAGUUUCCAUCUGGAAGAUGGUGGUGGUUUGAGGGUUACACAACAGUAUAAACGUACAUAAUGUCACCAGACUGCCCAAAUAAAGUGGCCAAAGUGAAAAUGUUCUGUUAUUUUGCCACAAUUAAAUUUUUUAAAAAUUAAUUAAUUGAUUAAUUAAUUUUGGUACUGGAGAGUAAACCUAUGGCACUUAACCACUGAGCCA